rnacentral:sRNA from 2 species
UUCGAUGGUGAGAAGUUUGCUUGAGCAAACUACACGGCGCAUUUGUCUCGAUUCCAAUCCAAUAUCCAAAAAGAAAGAAAAAUUUCCAAGAAAAUGACGUUGGAUCGCCAUUGGAGCUGAUCACAGCUUGAUAUUCCAUCGAGUUGCUUGAAGUUGAUAUUCGAGCCCUCAUUAAAUCCCCGUUGCUGGUUGAUGGUUCACCCUAGUCUCUGGCAUCUUGGACGAAUUGAUGCCCGAUAUGGCAUCAAUUCUUUGGGUUUGGGAUCAAUGCGCAUAUUUGAGGAUAGCUAUGUUUUCAACGACCUCCAUUUCAUAGUCCUUUCGUUCUAGUAUUCAAUAAAUUCAACUGUUGAUAGUGGUGUGGAUAACGGCAUCGAAUUUCUACGUACUUAUCAGACCAAAUUAGCUAGUGGAGGGUAAAAAUUGAAGCUAGCAAUUGUGAAAAUGGAGGCAAGAACUGUGAAGAAGAGAAAAUUGAACAGGAGAAUCAGCAUUCGCCUGCAUGGUCGACGCUUCUUAUCUUCCACUUUGAAUUAAUGCAUGCACUCCCCCUUUUGCCGAUUAUAUCGUCCCGCUUUUGAUCCAUCCAGGUCGACAGCUGGUGAAGGCCGACCUGUCUUAUCACGUGGACGCCAUCAAGCUCUCGCAGCGGCCAAUGGAUAAGCGACGAGAAACCAUAUUGUAUUUCUGGCCGCUCAAAAUCUCGCCUCUCAACAUCAUCGAUGAAGGCGAACAUGUCUUUCUUUCGAAAUACAAGGCAGGAAUAGCAUGAUCGAGUUGGACCUACAGCACAGUACUAUGCCGUGUAUACCAAAUUGCCAGCGUCGGAAACCUUACCUAGCGUACAGACUCUGUAACAGCAUCACCUAUAUCGUGAGAGGGAAAAUAAGGACUGGAGUGAAAUUGGUGAUUGUCGAACUAUAGAGCUGCGCAAAAUACGAUUCGACGUGACGGGAUGGUUCUGAUCUAAGACUUAUAUCAUUUUCGCAGUAUAUUGUCCAAUGAAGAUAGGUCGACAGAGAGCCUGUCCCUCACAUUACCCAUAAGCAGCAGUGAUUUUUUUAUUGUCUCGCAGAUAUAUCUCUCACAAUACGGCUCACCUGAAUAAAAAAUGGAUGUACGGGUGUGUUAAUACAUGGAUCCAGUAUGACAACAGGAUGGAUUUGAAGACCGAGCGGUUCAUAUAAGACCAAUAUGGUGGCACGCAGAACUUCACAGAAUGGCUUCAUUGCUACGGGGGGUUUGGUAGAGGUUUUCAUCAACUUCAAAGCGCAAGCCAAAUCCUGCCUGGGUAUUGCCCACAUAGAGCACACCUGAAUCGACCAUUCCUUUAUAUCUCCCUCCCAUCACAGUUAGGAGGUUAAAUAAGUCAUUUUUCUGUCUGGCAUCAUUGACGCAAGUUGGUACUGUUGGCCCUGGCCCUUCCCUCUUAUCUACCCAAACCGUUGAUAAUUUCCAUCCCUGGCUCUGACCACUGUAUGAGGAUACUCUCCUUCCAGCCCAUACCGCCAACCCUUUCACUUCAUUAAUUCCAUUUACCAAAAUAAACAAGAGACGGGCGUUGUUUGUUGCUCGCCUUUGAUACUCCAAAACCCAUAUCGCAAUCUUAGUUCGGCGGUGAUUCCUCUAACGAACGAACAGGAAAAGUAGCGAUGGCCAUCGUUCCAUUCUCCCUCUCAUACUUUGUUUCAGAUAUCACGACCCAUGUUGGAAACGGAUAUGUCUUACGUAGAACCCCAAGGCGCCCUUAAAAAAAAAGGAUCGCUUGGUACGUUCGGUAGAUCCUAUAGUAGUUCUAGUUCUGUCUCAAUCCGGUGGUGAUGGUAUCAUUCAGGACGUUGUCAAUCAACAAAAGUCCAUUUUUUCUUGCAUGGCUUUGUUUUUCUUUUGACCUGGGAUUUUUCGCUAAACCCAACCCCCCCCCCUUCUCCGACAUGUUUUGUUGAUCCCGAUAUGAGGAUCCCGAAGGAACCUCGCCAUCCGUGAAUGGAGGGAAGCUCCGAUUUUUCUUCUUGACUCUAAGGGCAUAAGUGGACAGUCCAAGCGGUUAGCCUUUACUUCCACAAUGCGAAGAGGGCUCAAGCAAGGUAGGCUGGAAAAUUUGUUGGUACUUUUCUGAAAUGGGA